rnacentral:rRNA from 1 species
AUUGAACGCUGGCGGCAGGCCUAACACAUGCAAGUCGAGCGAGCGGCGGACGGGUGAGUAAUGUCUGGGAAACUGCCUGAUGGAGGGGGAUAACUAUUGGAAACGGUAGCUAAUCCCGCAUACCAUCAGAUGUGCCCAGAUUGGAUUAGCUAGUAGGUGGGGUAACGGCUCACCUAGGCGACGAUCCCUAGCUGGUCUGAGAGGAUGACCCGCCACCCUGUAACUGAGACACGGUCCGGACUCCUCCGGUAGGCAGCAGUGGGGAAUAUGGCACAAUGGGCGCAAGCCUGAUGCAGCCAUGCCGCGUGUGUGAAGAAGGCCUUCGGGUUGUAAAGCACUUUCAGCGGGGAGGCUUUGCCCGCAUAAGAAGCACCGGCUAACUCCGUGCCAGCUGCCGCGGUAAUUC